ACGGCGAGUGAAGCGGCAACAGCUCAAAUUUGAAAUCUGGCCCUUGGGUCCGAAUUGUAAUUUGUAGAGGAUGCUUUUGAAGCGGUACCUUCCGAGUUCCCUGGAACGGGACGCCUUAGAGGGUGAGAGCCCCGUACGGUUGGAUACCAAUUCUUUGUAUAGCUCCUUCGACGAGUCGAGUAGUUUGGGAAUGCUGCUCUAAAUGGGAGGUAAAUUUCUUCUAAAGCUAAAUACCGGCCAGAGACCGAUAGCGCACAAGUAGAGUGAUCGAAAGAUGAAAAGCACUUUGAAAAGAGGGUUAAAUAGCACGUGAAAUUGUUGAAAGGGAAGCGUUUAUGACCAGACUUUUUCCAGGCGGAUCAUCCGGUGUUCUCACCGGUGCACUUCGUCUGGUCGAGGCCAGCAUCGGUUUUCGUAGAGGGAUAAAAGCUUUAGGAAUGUGGCUCCUCCGGGAGUGUUAUAGCCUAUUGUAUAAUACCUUUAUGGGGACCGAGGUACGCGCAUCUGCAAGGAUGCUGGCGUAAUGGUCAUCAACGACCCGUCUUGAAACACGGACCAAGGAGUCGAACAUUUGUGCGAGUGUUUGGGUGUUAAACCCUCACGCGUAAUGAAAGUGAACGGAGGUGAGAGCCGCAAGGCGCAUCAUCGACCGAUCCUGAUGUUUUCGGAUGGAUUUGAGUAAGAGCAUAAAUGUUCGGACCCGAAAGAUGGUGAACUAUGCGUGGAUAGGGUGAAGCCAGAGGAAACUCUGGUGGAGGCUCGCAGCGGUUCUGACGUGCAAAUCGAUCGUCAAAUCUGCGCAUGGGGGCGAAAGACUAAUCGA
rnacentral:rRNA from 1 species